rnacentral:rRNA from 1 species
GAUGAACGCUGGCGGCGUGCCUAAUACAUGCAAGUCGAGCGAACGGACGAGAAGCUUGCUUUUCUGAUGUUAGCGGCGGACGGGUGAGUAACACGUGGAUAACCUACCUAUAAGACUGGGAUAACUUCGGGAAACCGGAGCUAAUACCGGAUAAUAUUUUGAACCGCAUGGUUCAAAAGUGAAAGACGGUCUUGCUGUCACUUAUAGAUGGAUCCGCGCUGCAUUAGCUAGUUGGUAAGGUAACGGCUUACCAAGGCAACGAUGCAUAGCCGACCUGAGCGGGUGAUCGGCCACACUGGAACUGAGACACGGUCCAGACUCCUACGGGAGGCAGCAGUAGGGAAUCUUCCGCAAUGGGCGAAAGCCUGACGGAGCAACGCCGCGUGAGUGAUGAAGGUCUUCGGAUCGUAAAACUCUGUUAUUAGGGAAGAACAUAUGUGUAAGUAACUGUGCACAUCUUGACGGUACCUAAUCAGAAAGCCACGGCUAACUACGUG